rnacentral:rRNA from 3 species
GGGUUGUGAGGUUAAGCGACUAAGCGUACACGGUGGAUGCCCUGGCAGUCAGAGGCGAUGAAGGGCGUGCUAAUCUGCGAUAAGCGCCGGUAAGGUGAUAUGAACCGUUAUAACCGGCGAUACCCGAAUGGGGAAACCCAGUGUGAUUCGUCACACUAUCAUUAACUGAAUCCAUAGGUUAAUGAGGCGAACCGGGGGAACUGAAACAUCUAAGUACCCCGAGGAAAAGAAAUCAACCGAGAUUCCCCCAGUAGCGGCGAGCGAACGGGGAGGAGCCCAGAGCCUGAAUCAGCAUGUGUGUUAGUGGAAGCGUCUGGAAAGGCGCGCGAUACAGGGUGACAGCCCCGUACACAAAAGCGCAUGUGUUGUGAGCUCGAUGAGUAGGGCGGGACACGUGGUAUCCUGUCUGAAUAUGGGGGGACCAUCCUCCAAGGCUAAAUACUCCUGACUGACCGAUAGUGAACCAGUACCGUGAGGGAAAGGCGAAAAGAACCCCGGCGAGGGGAGUGAAAAAGAACCUGAAACCGUGUACGUACAAGCAGUGGGAGCACCCUUUGGGGUGUGACUGCGUACCUUUUGUAUAAUGGGUCAGCGACUUAUAUUCUGUAGCAAGGUUAACCGAAUAGGGGAGCCGGAGGGAAACCGAGUCUUAAUUGGGCGUUAAGUUGCAGGGUAUAGACCCGAAACCCGGUGAUCUAGCCAUGGGCAGGUUGAAGGUUGGGUAACACUAACUGGAGGACCGAACCGACUAAUGUUGAAAAAUUAGCGGAUGACCUGUGGCUGGGGGUGAAAGGCCAAUCAAACCGGGAGAUAGCUGGUUCUCCCCGAAAGCUAUUUAGGUAGCGCCUCGUGAAUUCAUCUCCGGGGGUAGAGCACUGUUUCGGCUAGGGGGCCAUCCCGGCUUACCAACCCGAUGCAAACUGCGAAUACCGGAGAAUGUUAUCACGGGAGACACACGGCGGGUGCUAACGUCCGUCGUGAAGAGGGAAACAACCCAGACCGCCAGCUAAGGUCCCAAAGU